rnacentral:rRNA from 1 species
UACGUAGGGGGCUAGCGUUGUCCGGAAUCAUUGGGCGUAAAGAGCUCGUAGGCGGUGUGUCGCGUCGGCCGUGAAAACCUGCAGCUUAACUGUGGGCUUGCGGUCGAUACGGGCAUCACUGGAGUUCGGCAGGGGAGACUGGAAUUCCUGGUGUAGCGGUGAAAUGCGCAGAUAUCAGGAGGAACACCGGUGGCGAAGGCGGGUCUCUGGACAGUUCCUGACACUGAGACACGAAGGCCAGGGGAGCAAACGGG